UACGAAGGGGGCUAGCGUUGCUCGGAAUCACUGGGCGUAAAGGGUGCGUAGGCGGUUCUUUAAGUCAGGGGUGAAAUCCUGGAGCUCAACUCCAGAACUGCCUUUGAUACUGAGGAUCUUGAGUAUGGGAGAGGUGAGUGGAACUGCGAGUGUAGAGGUGAAAUUCGUAGAUAUUCGCAAGAACACCAGUGGCGAAGGCGGCUCACUGGCCCAUUACUGACGCUGAGGCACGAAAGCGUGGGGAGCAAACAGG
rnacentral:rRNA from 1 species